rnacentral:rRNA from 1 species
AUUGAACGCUGGCGGCAGGCCUAACACAUGCAAGUCGAGCGGAUGAAGGGAGCUUGCUCCUGGAUUCAGCGGCGGACGGGUGAGUAAUGCCUAGGAAUCUGCCUGGUAGUGGGGGAUAACGUCCGGAAACGGGCGCUAAUACCGCAUACGUCCUGAGGGAGAAAGUGGGGGAUCUUCGGACCUCACGCUAUCAGAUGAGCCUAGGUCGGAUUAGCUAGUUGGUGGGGUAAGGGCCUACCAAGGCGACGAUCCGUAACUGGUCUGAGAGGAUGAUCAGUCACACUGGAACUGAGACACGGUCCAGGCUCCUACGGGAGGCAGCAGUGGGGAAUAUUGGACAAUGGGCGAAAGCCUGAUCCAGCCAUGCCGCGUGUGUGAAGAAGGUCUUCGGAUUGUAAAGCACUUUAAGUUGGGAGGAAGGGCAGUAAGUUAAUACCUUGCUGUUUUGACGUUACCAACAGAAUAAGCACCGGCUAACUUCGUG